GGUGAUCCUGAGUAGUUGGUGGUGGCUCAAUGUGUCUAGGACUCUGAUGCGUGGGUUGGGAUUUAUAGUUUAAGUUUCUACCUAUGUAUCAAAUUUUGGAACAAAUUAAUGUAGUCCAUGUUUUAUGUUGAAUUUUCAUGUUGAGGCUUAAUGCCAAGAUUAUUUUGGAUAAUGGAGUUUAAUUUAAAGAAUAUUCCGCUGCAGUUUAAUGAAGUAUGUUGUUAAAUAGUUUUAAUCUAUUUAAGAAUUUAUAUUUUGUAGUGUGACAUGCCGUUUAACGUGGAACUCUGAUUUUAUAAUUAUAAUUAAAUUGAUUUUGGGAAACGGGGUGUUACAAUUGGUAUCAGAGCAGGUUGGUCCGUCCGGCCAAGUAGUAGAGUCGUGUUGAGCCACCUAGGAUAGAGUGUCAACUCUAAUAUAGUUGUUGUUGUUGUUGUUGUUGUUGUUGUUGUUGUUGUUGUCCUGUUUGUUGUUUGUUGUGUCUUGGUAUGAACUGGUUGGAGUAUAACCAUGUUCAUAUCAAUUGCUUUAACAAGACGGUGCAUUUUCUUCUGCGGAAGAAGAGAGUGAAGUUGAGUUUUUAAAUACGAAGCAAAUGAAGCAGUUAGAACGUGAUGGAAUUCUGAUGUUUUCUCUAAUGGCAUAUCUGUCGUUAGAAAAUCAAGCUGUGAUUGACAAGCUAGCGGUGGUGAAUGAGUUUCCGGAGGUGUUCCCUGAUGAGAUUCCUGAUGUGCCGCCAGAGAGGGAGGUGGAGUUUUCAAUUGACCUUGUUCCUGGAACAAAGCCGGUGUCGAUGGCACCGUACCGUAUGUCAGCUUCUGAGUUAGCUGAAUUGAAGAAACAGUUGGAAGACUUACUUGAUAAGAAGUUUGUAAGACCCAGUGUUUCGCCGUGGGGAGCACCUGUGUUGUUGGUGAAGAAAAAGGAUGGUAGUAUGAGGUUGUGCAUUGACUAUCGUCAAUUGAACAAAGUUACAAUUAAGAAUAGAUAUCCGCUUCCGAGGAUUGAUGACUUGAUGGACCAGCUAGUGGGUGCAAAGGUGUUCAGUAAGAUUGACUUGAGGUCAGUUACCAUCAAAUUAAGGUGAAGGAUGAGGAUAUGCAGAAGACGGCCUUUAGGACACGAUACGGUCAUUACGAAUACAAAGUGAUGCCUUUCGGUGUUACUAACGCGCCCGGUGUGUUCAUGGAGUAUAUGAAUCGAAUUUUUCAUGCUUUUCUGGAUAAAUUCGUGGUGGUAUUUAUUGAUGAUAUUCUGAUUUAUUCGAAGACUGAAGAAGAGCAUGCAGAACAUCUGAGAAUUGUGCUGCAAGUUUUGAAAGAGAAGAAGUUGUAUGCCAAAUUGUCGAAAUGUGAGUUUUGGCUAAGUGAAGUGAGUUUCCUUGGUCAUAUUAUUUCUGGUGAUGGUAUAGCGGUUGAUCCAUCAAAAGUUGAUGCAGUAUCGCAAUGGGAGACUCCGAAGUCGGUGACUGAAAUCAGAAGCUUCUUGGGUUUGGCUAGUUAUUACCGCAGAUUUAUAGAAGGAUUUUCAAAGUUAGCAUUGCCGUUGACUCAGUUAACCUGUAAGGGUAAGUCCUUUGUGUGGGAUGCUCGGUGUGAGAGUAGUUUCAAUGAAUUAAAGAAAAGAUUGACAACUGCUCCUAUUUUGAUCUUACCUAAGCCGGAAGAGCCAUUCGUUGUUUACUGUGAUGCGUCUAAGCUGGGUUUAGGAGGUGUUUUGAUGCAAGAUGGCAAGGUGGUAGCAUAUGCUUCUAGGCAACUGAGGGUGCACGAAAAGAAUUAUCCCACUCAUGAUUUAGAGUUAGCUGCGGUGGUUUUUGUUUUGAAAAUUUGGAGACACUACUUGUAUGGUUCCAGAUUUGAAGUGUUCAGUGACCACAAGAGCUUGAAAUAUUUGUUUGACCAGAAGGAAUUGAAUAUGAGGCAGAGGAGAUGGCUUGAGCUGUUAAAAGAUUAUGAUUUUGGGUUGAAUUACCAUCCGGGAAAAGCUAAUGUAGUCGCGGAUGCGUUGAGUAGGAAGACACUUCAUAUGUCUGCUAUGAUGAUGAAAGAAUUUGAUUUACUGGAACAGUUUAGAGACAUGAGUUUGGUGUGUGAGUUGUCGCCUCAAAGCAUACAGUUGGGGAUGCUAAAGAUUAACAGCGAUUUCCUGAAUAGUAUUCGAGAAGCACAGCAAGUGGAUGUCAAGUUGGUUGAUCUAAUGGUUACUGGUAAUAGUAUUGAAGAUAGUGACUUCAAGGUUGAUGAUCAGGGUGUGUUGAGAUUCAGAGGUAGAAUUUGUAUUCCUGAUAAUGAAGAAAUGAAAAAGUUAAUCCUAGAGGAAAGUCAUAAGAGUAGCUUAAGCAUUCAUCCGGGAGCUACGAAGAUGUAUCAUGAUUUGAAAAAGCUGUUUUGGUGGUCUGGGUUGAAGCGAGAUGUUGCUCAUUUUGUGUAUGCAUGUUUAACUUGUCAGAAGUCUAAGGUUGAACACCAGAAACCUGCAGGAUUGUUGACACCAUUGGAUGUACCGGAGUGGAAAUGGGAUAGCAUUUCUAUGGAUUUUGUGACGAGUUUACCAAACACUCCGAGGGGACAUGAUUCGAUUUGGGUUGUGGUUGAUAGGUUGACGAAGUCGGCACAUUUUAUUCCUAUCAACAUUAGUUAUUCGGUAGCUCAGUUGGCUGAGAUUUAUAUACAUAGUGUUGUGAAGCUACAUGGAGUUCCUUCGAGUAUUGUGUCGGAUAGGGAUCCGAGGUUCACUUCUAGGUUCUGGAAGAGUUUACAGGACGCUUUGGGUUCGAAGUUGAGGCUGAGUUCGGCUUAUCAUCCUCAGACAGAUGGUCAGUCGGAGAGAACGAUCCAAUCAUUGGAAGACUUGUUGAGAGUGUGUGUGCUUGAACAGGGUGGAGCUUGGGAUAGUCACCUACCAUUGAUAGAGUUCACCUACAACAAUAGUUAUCAUUCGAGUAUAGGAAUGGCACCAUUCGAAGCUUUGUAUGGUCGAAGGUGCAGGACUCCGUUGUGUUGGUUCGAGUCAGGAGAAAGUGUUGUGCUGGGACCGGAUUUGGUUCAGGAGACUACAGAAAAAGUCAAGAUGAUCAGAGAGAAGAUGAAAGCGUCACAGAGUCGACAGAAGAGUUACCAUGACAAGCGGAGAAAGGCCCUUGAGUUUCAAGAGGGUGAUCAUGUAUUUCUGAGAGUGACUCCGAUGACGGGUGUAGGACGUGCUUUGAAAUCGAGAAAGUUGACUCCGAAAUUCAUUGGCCCGUAUCAGAUUUCAGAGAGAAUAGGAACGGUGGCAUAUAGAGUUGGCUUGCCACCACAUCUAUCGAACUUGCAUGAUGUGUUUCACGUGUCACAACUUCGGAAGUAUGUAGCAGAUCCUUCACAUGUUAUUCCGAGAGAUGAUGUACAGGUUCGGGACAAUCUCACAGUUGAGACUUUGCCGUUGAGGAUCGAUGAUCGGAAAGUAAAGGCAUUGAGGGGCAAGGAAAUACCCUUGGUGAGAGUCGUUUGGGGCGGAGCAACUGGUGAAAGUUUGACUUGGGAGCUGGAAAGUAAGAUGAGGGACUCUUAUCCUGAGUUGUUUGUUUGAGGUAAGAUUUCGAGGACGAAAUUCAGUAAUUUGGGGAGAGUUGUAACACUCUAAUUUUUAUUUAAUUAUUUUUAAUUGUGUGGUGUCAUUUAUGUGAUUUUUGGUGAUUUAUGUAGUGUAUAUUUAUUUAUUAUAUGAUUAUUUUAUUAAAUAAUUAAAAUAAUAUAAGAAUAGGAUUAAUUAUUAUUUUGGGGGUUAUGAAAUAAUUAACAUAAUUAGUAGGGAGUUAAUUGCUAAUUAGGGAGUGGGAGGUUACAUUUUGGGAGUUGAGAAAAGGAAAGAAAAAUAGAGAAAACAGUUUUACGUGAAAACAGUCUGGUUUUGGGAGAAAAGCUAGUGCAAGGGAGAGAAGCUUAGGAAUCAUUGCUGCUGUAUUUUUUCUGCAAUUCUAAGGUAAGGGUGAGGUUUACCGCAAUUAUAUAGAUUCUGAAUGUUGAUUGUGUUCUAACAGGUUUAUGUGAGGAUUUGGGAGAAAUUGGGUUUUUGUUGAUUAAGGAGUUUUGAGUGUAGAAAUCAUAGAAUUGAGGGUAGAAAUGGGUUCUGGGUGCAUAAAACCUUUCAUUGCAUAUCUGUAAGCUAAUUUGGGGAGUGAAUUGAGGAAAAAUGGGAUUUUUGGGGAAAACCUGCAUUCUGCCCGUACUGAAGUUCAUCGCUCGCCUCGCGAGUAGCCAUUACUCGCCAUAGCGAGUGAACAACUUCAUCGCUCGCCCCGCGAGUGAUACAGCUCGCCAUGGCGAGUAUCCUUGUGAAAAUCUGGAUUUUGAAAAAGAUGUUAUAAGCCGUAUUUUGGGUAGUUUCGCGUACCUAGAUGAUUUUUAAGAGGACUAGAGCAAGUUUUAAGUGUAAAAGAUGAUUAGGGAGCUUAGAAUUGAGGUUUGAGUGAGAAAAAUGUCAUUUUUCCCGAGAGCACCAUAUUUCUGUUCGCCUCGAGUUCGCCUCCAACUCGCCAUGGCGAGUACCUGUUUUUCUGAGCUCGCCAUAGCGAGUAGAUGAGCUCGCGAGGCGAGCUGCCCAGUAUUUGGUUGGUUAAUUUCUGUUGUUGUUUGGAUUGUGUAUUUGGUUGAAUUAUUGCAUGGCUUGUAUGUUGAUAUAUAUUUCCCUGGACGUUUUGGUUGGUUUUGAUGAAUGGAUGCUGACUGAAUGAAUGUUGUAUUUAAUUAAAUUCCCUUAAAGGUGUAAGUUGGUUGGUGAAUCAUAUAUAUGUAUAUGUCUAGGUUGGUUGGUAUGUAGAUAUACUCUAUGAGGAUUAGUUGCAUUAACAUAACAGUGGGAGAGCUUCGGCUCUGGAAUGCUUAGUCGUUCAAAGUGGUGGAGUACUAGUUACUCAAAGUGGUGUAGUGGUGAGGACUUAUGUCCUGUUGAGAAUGCUUUAACCAUUCGACAGCGGUGUGGGUCACGGCCCUGAUUUUUGGUACCACAUGCAUGGGUGUUUAGAGGAGUCUUAGUGGAGUGGUGAUAAGUUGUAUAUAUAGUUGAGAGGUGUAUGAAUUAAUAUUGUGAUAAGAUGCGAAAAUGAUGUUAUGUAAAUAAUAAUGUUGAUGAUUUAUGAUAGGGUGUUAGAUUCAAUUGAUAUAUUCUUUAUCUAUAUUUUGUUGUGAAUCUCACCCCUUCUGCUUGAAAAUGUUGCCCUUCCUAUGGGUAACUUGCAGGUGAUCCUGAGUAGUUGGUGGUGGCUCAAUGUGUCUAGGACUCUGAUGCGUGGGUUGGGAUUUAUAGUUUAAGUUUCUACCUAUGUAUCAAAUUUUGGAACAAAUUAAUGUAGUCCAUGUUUUAUGUUGAAUUUUCAUGUUGAGGCUUAAUGCCAAGAUUAUUUUGGAUAAUGGAGUUUAAUUUAAAGAAUAUUCCGCUGCAG
rnacentral:lncRNA from 1 species